rnacentral:rRNA from 1 species
AUUGAACGCUGGCGGCAGGCCUAACACAUGCACGUCGAACGAGUGGCGGACGGGUUAGUAAUGUCUGGGAAACUGCCUGAUGGAGGGGGAUAACUACUGGAAACGGUAGCUAAUACCGCAUACCAUCAGAUGUGCCCAGCUGGGAUUCGCUAGUUGGUGGGGUAACGGCUCACCAAGGCGACGAUCCCUAGCUGGUCUGAGAGGAUGACCGGCAACACUGGAACUGGGACACGGUCCAGACGCCUACGGGGGGCAGCAGUGGGGAAGAGUGCACAAUGGGCGAAAGCCUGAUGCAGCAAUGCCGCGUGUAUGAAGAAGGCCUUCGGGUUGUAAAGUACUUUCAGCGGGGAGGCGUUACCCGCAGAAGAAGCACCGGCUAACUCCGUGCCAGCAGCCGCGUAAUUC